rnacentral:rRNA from 3 species
CGUAGGUAACCUGCCUUGUAGCGGGGGAUAACUAUUGGAAACGAUAGCUAAUACCGCAUAACAAUGGAUGACACAUGUCAUUUAUUUGAAAGGGGCAAUUGCUCCACUACAAGAUGGACCUGCGUUGUAUUAGCUAGUAGGUGAGGUAACGGCUCACCUAGGCGACGAUACAUAGCCGACCUGAGAGGGUGAUCGGCCACACUGGGACUGAGACACGGCCCAG